rnacentral:misc_RNA from 1 species
GAUGAAGGAACGUAGCGAAAUGCGAUACUUGGUGUGAAUUGCAGAAUCCCGUGAACCAUCGAGUCUUUGAACGCAAGUUGCGCCCGAAGCCUCGGCUAAGGGCACGUCUGCCUGGGCGUCACGCAUCGCGUCUCCCCCAAACCGCCAAGGCGGAGGGGAAGGAAGAUGGCUUCCCGUGCCUCACCCGGGCGCGGUUGGCCUAAAUUUGGAGCCCGCGGCACUUAGCUCUCGCGGCGAUAGGUGGUGAACAAGGCCUUGGCCGUGCAAACAACCCGCUGCGAAGCUCUAUGUCACGUGCGCUCGUCGGACCCUUUGAAGUUGCCUUUGGUGACUUAAAACCUUUGCGACCCCAGGUCAGGCGGGGCUACCCGCUGAAUUUAAGCAUAUCAAUAAGCGGAGGA